CAUCAUCCUCAACACAAACCUGUCUGCUCCUGAUGCUCCUUCUACUCAGCACCACAUGGGUAGACUGUGUUGAAUACAGCCAGCCCAGCUCUGUAACCAUCAGGCCAGGAGAGUCUUUGAGUGUCACCUGCAAAGUAACUGGAGGCUCCAUUACAGACAGCAGCAAAAACUUUUGCAUAUCCUGGAUACGACAGCCAUCAGGGAAAGGUCUGGAGUGGGUCAAUCGCCUCUGUUAUAAUGCAGACUUGUACUACAAAGAGUCACUGAAGAGCAAGUUCAGUGUCUCCAGAGACACCUCCAGUAACACCAUCACCCUGCAAGGACAAAACAUGCAGCCUGAAGACACAGCUGUCUAUUACUGCGCUCGAGAUCCCCACAGUGAUACAAAACAGCUUCAGACCCGUACAAAAACUUAA